rnacentral:lncRNA from 10 species
GCCACCCGUGACCCUGAACUGCAAUAAUUGGAGAGAGAGAGAGAUGGUGUCUCCAUUUGUCUCCCAGUCUGAAGUGCAGUGAUCCAGCCCACUGUAAUCUCAAACUCCUGGGCUCAAGCAAUGUUCCUACCAGCCUCCCAAAGCACUGGGAUUAUCGGCAUGAGCUACCUGAUGCCUAUAAUCAGGACUGGACUGAACCUUUUAAUCAUUAUGUCCCUUUCUGUCCCAGGUUUUUACAAUUAACUGGAAAUUAUAUUGGACUUUGGACUUCUUCUAAAUCAAGUAGAAAAUGAUUGAAGGCUUUUUGCUGUUUGCUAAUUCUGACUUAGGCUUCCCGCCAAUCACCGUGGAUGCUGUGGGGAGGACGGUCUCUCAGAGGAAUUACAGAAACUGGAAGAUCAUCCAGGACGCUCUUUUAGGAGAUGGUGGCAGUUUAGGAAAGAGUAAUUGUGAUAGAGGUGAAAAGAAAAGAGGUGACUGUAAUGUAGGAUAAAUUUUCCAUUUAGAGCUGAAAAAAAUUGCUGCAGAAUUUAAUGUGUGCUAUAAGGAAAACAGCAUCAAAGGAGAGGAUGAGUUUCUGAGCCUGAGCAUUUGCGUGAAAGGUGGGACCAUUUCUAAAAUGAAAACAUUAAGCAGGGAGAAGGUCUAUGGAGAGAAAUCAAGAAACCACAAUGCAGUGGAUCCUUGACUUUAAUGGUUUUUUUUGAGAUAAAUAUAGGACCUUUAGGAAUCUUUCAAAUUCACACAUAUCCCCAUAGCCUACAAGAUUUGACAUAAAAUGCAGCCAACUGGCCUCUUCCUUUUUAGUCCCUUAAAGAUCUCUCCCUUGCUCAGUGAGCAAUUUUGGUGGUAGUCAGAGCACUGUCUGGAAAUGGGGUCUCAAAUAUCUUUUUCUUAAAGGACCACAUGGUAAACCCCUUUGGGGUAUGACUCUGUCCACAGAUAAAUUUGGCAUUAUACUCUAACUCAUCUAAACCUUUUCAUUUUUAGCUAAGGACUCCUUUAGGUAUUUCACUUCCAUCAUUAGCAUUAGCAGCUUCUUUUUUGGCCACUUUUCAAGAAGAAAUAGAGCUUGGUUCACCUUAUGAACAUUUCUGAAUGUGAGACAAUGACUCAGGAUAAGGAAGCUAAGUCGAGGCAAGGUUCGUAAGUUAGCUAUGAGGUUCUCUCUCUGGCUAUGUAGGCCUUUCAGGAAUAUCAGCUUGCUUAUUCCUGGAAUAUUCAACUGUAUUUAUUAAUAAAAUUUGAAUUUAUUUUGAGUUACAAACCAGGGAGUCUCACAAAUGGUUGAAACCAUUAAUUUUAAAUCAUGAAUGUCAAUGACCUACUAUCUGAAUUGAUCAUAUGAAGUUUUUGCUAGUUCGUUUUCCAUGCUUGAGCUUAUUGAUGAAAUUAUGCUGUCUGAAAUGCCUCUUCUCUGCCCUAUGGUAAUUCAAAGCUUCCCUUACCUAAUUCAUGGAUUUAUUAAGCACCUCAAUAUGGUUACAAAUAUCUUAGAGAGGCCAUGUGUUCAAACAGAAACAGACAGACUUUGGUUCAGAUCCCAUCUUCCAUUUACAAUCUGUGUGACUUCUGAAACGUUGCUCACCCUCUCUGAGCAUGUUUCUCCAUCUUUCAGUGGGGCUAGUGACACCUAGUGAGGUGUUUGAAAAUAGCCCAGAGUAAGUGCCUAUGGUGGUCAUGGGAGUGCACCCCUCAGACUGCCUUUGAAGGGUGCUUGCCUCGAGAAGCUCAGUUGGCCAAUGACCCUGGCUGCCACGCCUUCAGAUUUGUCCUGGCAUUUACACCAAAGGCCACUGCUCCCACCCUAAGUAUGGUGGCAGUAACAGACCUCAGCCAUUUCUGCCCAGUAUAGGACAGAGCUCUAACGAUCACACUUUGCCAGAGUUUCCCAUUGGCCUAGUUGAGGUUUUCUGUGAGCUCCUCUGAACCAUCUAUGGCUCCUCCUAUCCAGUCCUCUUUCCUUUUCUUUCUCCAUUUACAAGAAUCAGGCUGCAUCACAGGCCAAAUAUUCCCUCCCCUACUCCUGCUCCCUGCCCUUUCAGCCUUCUCAGGUGUUUCUCUUAAUAUACCUCUUACAUGUCUGAUUCUGUCUUGUCAUCUGCCUCUCUCGGAUCCUAACUGACAUGCUGCCUUUAAUGAAGACCAGUAGGACCUUGGGCAGGGUCUGGUCUCUGGAGGUAGGGUUCUUCAGCAUUCUAGCAUUUCUUCUCAUCAGGACAUAGAGCACAUGUCCUCCCUGCAAGGUGUCACUUGUAAGUAGCCAGUUCAACAUUAAGCAUGUUUGCCCAUUGCUGUUCCCAUAAGAGCUCUUGACCUUUGACCUCUGGACUACAUCCCAUCAUCUUUCCAGUAUGGAUUUUCCUGUGCUUUUCAGAAUUCUUAAUCCCACCUUUGUGCAGGGUCCAUCAUCAUCCCUCCCCACAGCCAUUUCAGCUCCCUGAAUUUUGCAAGCUCUUGGAAAUACAUUUACAGCUGACCUCAGGAACUGGGUCCUAAGUCCCCUAUGUUAGCUCUCAGGAAAACAAGAGCUCAAGUGUGCAAGCCCCUGCAAAGUCUCCAAGUUUGGGUAAGAAUCAUCAGGAUCAUGUGAAGGGGAAAGCUUGUGCACUAGCACCAGACUGCCAGGGUGCAGAUCCUGAAGCUGCCAUUUAUCAGAUGCGUGGCCUUGACUAUUAGAUGUGUGACUUUGAACAUUUUUGGUGCCUCAGUUUACUUGUUCAUCAAAUUUAGAUAACAAUCACAUCUAUUUCAUAGGGGUGAGGUGAGGAUUGUGACAAUAAACUCAUGUAAAGCAAGCACUAGCGCCAGACACAUAAUAAAUGCUCAUUGCUCAUUAAUGUCUAUUAUUUAUUUAUUUAUUUGAGACAGGUUCUUGCUCUGUUGCUGAAGAUGGAGUGCAGUGGUGCAAUCUCAGUUCACUGCAGCCUCUACCUCCUAGGCUCAAGUGAUUCUUCC